rnacentral:rRNA from 1 species
UACGAAGGGGGCUAGCGUUGUUCGGAAUUACUGGGCGUAAAGCGUGCGCAGGCGGCUUCUCAAGUCAGGGGUGAAAGCCCAGAGCUCAACUCUGGAAUUGCCUUUGAGACUGAGUGGCUAGAAUCGUGGAGAGGUGAGUGGAAUUCCGAGUGUAGAGGUGAAAUUCGUAGAUAUUCGGAAGAACACCAGUGGCGAAGGCGACUCACUGGACACGUAUUGACGCUGAGGUGCGAAAGCGUGGGGAGCAAACAGG